CAGCGCCACGAGUGGCAUACAUAUUUAUUGGGCCUAAAGCGUCCGUAGCCGGUUUGGUAAAUCCUUUGUGAAAUCAUAGAGCUUAACUCUAUGGCGUGCAGAGGACACUGCUUGACUUGGAACCGGGAGGAGUCAGAGGUAUUCUGGGGGGAGCGGUAAAAUGCUAUAAUCCCCAGAGGACCACCUGUGGCGAAGGCGUCUGACUAGAACGGAUUCGACGGUGAGGGACGAGGGCCAGGGGAGCGAACCGGAUUAGAUACCCGAGUAGUCC
rnacentral:rRNA from 1 species